UACGAAGGGGGCUAGCGUUGCUCGGAAUCACUGGGCGUAAAGCGCACGUAGGCGGACUCUUAAGUCAGGGGUGAAAUCCUGGAGCUCAACUCCAGAACUGCCUUUGAUACUGAGGAUCUUGAGUUCGGGAGAGGUGAGUGGGAACUGCGAGUGUAGAGGUGAAAUUCGUAGAUAUUCGCAAGAACACCAGUGGCGAAGGCGGCUC
rnacentral:rRNA from 1 species